rnacentral:rRNA from 1 species
GACAGAGGGUGCAAACGUUGUUCGGAAUUACUGGGCGUAAAGCGUGUGUAGGCGGUCACGUAAGUCGGAUGUGAAAGCCCUGGGCUCAACCCAGGAAGUGCACUCGAUACUCCGUGGCUUGAGUACUGGAGAGGUUGGUGGAAUUCUCGGUGUAGAGGUGAAAUUCGUAGAUAUCGAGAGGAACACCGGUGGCGAAGGCGGCCAACUGGACAGAUACUGACGCUGAAACACGAAAGCGUGGGGAGCAAACAGG